UACGGAGGAUGCAAGCGUUAUCCGGACUCAUUGGGUUUAAAGGGUGCGUAGGCGGACUAUUAAGUCAGUGGUGAAAGCCUGCAGCUUAACUGCAGAACUGCCAUUGAUACUGAUAGUCUUGAGUUUGGUUAAGGUAGGCGGAAUGUGUAAUGUAGCGGUGAAAUGCUUAGAUAUUACACAGAACACCAAUUGCGUAGGCAGCUUACUGAGCCGACACUGACGCUGAGGCACGAAAGCGUGGGGAUCGAACAGGA
rnacentral:rRNA from 1 species